rnacentral:misc_RNA from 1 species
AACCCAUAAGCCCAUUGCCAAAAUCAGACAGACCAUUUGAAGGAUUCCCCAAAAAUUGAGAAGUCGACUGUGAAUUGGACUGCAAAUGGUAGUCAUAUGGAAUAUCUGUUUGAAACAAAAUUGAAUUUGAUUCUCCAACAUAACCAACCAACUGGGGAUCAACAAAAUCUCUGGUCCCGGUGCCGGUGCCCGUGCCGGUGUUAGCGCUAGUGCUACUGCUAGUGCUAGUCAUACCACCAUAAUCACUACCACUACCAGAAAGAUUGCUGUCAGGACCCUCAUGGUUGAUAUGGAACUGGGGGGACUUGAGCGAGGAAGGAUAUUCCUCACCAAGCACAUCAUACAAUGACUUCUCUGUGGCUUUCAGAGCAAGAGGAUCAUAAAACAUGGGGGGUUUGUCUUCCAUGUUCUCUUCCAUAAGCAUUUGGCUUAUGUAUUUGAAUACUGGAUCUGAAGAAUCACUAUCAUUAGAGGAAGAAGAAACUCCCUCCGGACUCCAGCCAGGGGACGGUUCAAAGGAUUCUCCGCCUGGACUAAACGCUGGGAUAAAUGACUCUCCCCCAGGACUAAAGGCAAAGGACAGACCCAAAUCAUUUGCAACAGGAUCAGGUGGAUCAGAAGGAAUAUUCAUGAAAUUAAGAUCAGAGUAAGGGCUAUCAAAUUUAAAUCCACUUUCAUUAUCUGGGUAUCCAUCGGAGUUCGGAAAGAAGGAUUGUUCAUCAAUUAUGGAACCCACUGUGGGUUUAGGAUCCAUGAUCAUCUAUCUACGCCUAAAAGUCAAACCCACCGAGAAUAGCUCCAAGAGAUCAAUUCUGAAUUAAACGAAGGAAAAGAUUCAAGCUUUCAAGCAGAAUCCAGUACAAUUUAUGACCAAGAACCUUUGAAUAUCUGAAGAUGACAGGAAUUUCUUGCAGCAAAGAAAGUCUAAAAUUUUUCUAAAAGUAAGAACACA